AGUUAGUUGGUGAGGUAAAAGCUCACCAAGACGAUGACGGGUAGCUGGUCUGAGAGGACGACCAGUCACACUGGAACUGAGACACGGUCCAGACACCUACGGGUGGCAGCAGUCGAGAAUCAUUCGCAAUGGACGAAAGUCUGACGGUGCGACGCCGCGUGGAGGAUGAAGGCCCUAGGGUCGUAAACUCCUGUCAUCAGGGAGUAAUUACUUAUGUAGUAACUGACAUAGGUCUUGAUAGUACCUGAAGAGGAA
rnacentral:rRNA from 1 species